CUCCCUUUGAGAUCUAAUUUUAUGUGACAAUAAAUUAAUGUGCUUCUCUCUCUGAAUUUCGCUUUCUCGCAAAACAUUGCACGGUCUUUGUAGUACCGUGUAUUUUCCAGAAAAUACAUCGUGUAAAAACAUUUCCGAGGAAACCAAAUAUACGGAGGUUGAGAUAUGACAUAAAAACAGAUGUACAUAUUUAUGUUUAAUAUGCCUACAAAAAUACCCCCCCCCCCCCCCCCCCCCCAAACCAAAAAAAAAGAAGAAAAAAACAAUCGCACACAGGCUGAGACAUGACUGGUAUUAUUGUGUUUUGUUAUUUAGUCC
rnacentral:lncRNA from 1 species